CAGUAACUGGCAUUUGGUUACGGGGUGGCCGUUUUUCUGCGUGGACCAAGCAGGGUCCCAGUUCAAGUUUCUGCUGCGUAUCUGAUAAUCUUGAGUUUCUACAGGAAUUAGGAGUGUGACUUCAGGAAUGGCUUAUUCCAAGUUGUAAAACUAUCCCCUGUCAUGAAGUAUUCAAUCCAGGUUUAAGUCCUUCAGCAUCUGACAUUCUCCUGGCAACUGUAAUUGAAUCAAUGAUGACUCAUCUGAGAUGAGCAAGUUGGUCCAGUCAGACCAAACAAAAGACAUUCUAUAAUCAGGGGAGAAGUCUUCUCUAUAUCUCUCUUAUAUGAGCAAAUUUAAUGACCUCCACCAUCUCUAAGAACAAGCAGCUAUUUCUGUAGAGAAAGAUCGUCUUUGGAUAACAAUACAUGAUUUUAGGCUCCAAAAGUUAAAACGUGUUUGUAAUGUUGAUAUUAUGCAGAGGUCUUGACAGAACUUGGCAGUCUCUGAGGCUACAGAGAAGUGUGAAAAAGAGCAUAGAGAUUUCAGAAGGAGGCAGAUUCAGUCAGACGUACUGAAUCCCGUUUGAUCUCAACUCAGGCACACUCCAGAUGG
rnacentral:antisense_RNA from 1 species